GAGACAAUUUUUGCUAAUGUUCAACCAAAAGCGAGGGGGAUUUCACCACCCAUAACCCCUCACUAGAUCCGCAACUGUGUUUGACGAUUGGUGUUAAAUACACAUCCCGAUUACUAUGAAUAAAAAGAGAAACAACAGCAAGCAGAUCAAAAUCUACAAGUUUGAAAAUCCACGUGUCAACGAAAAGGCGAGGAUAACUAUGACAUGUCAAACUUUGCAAUGUUUGAUCUUUCCUAUUGAUUUGUAAUGUAUAUUCAUUUUUUCAUUUGUGUGUGUGUGUAUAUAUAUAUAUAUAUAUAUAUAUAUAUAUAUAUAUUCCAGGGGUGGAUCCAGGAAUUGCGGUUACGGGGGCGCCACUUUAUGAGGCGAGGCCCUGUUGGGAAGCUCCUGGAUUUUGCAGUUGAAAUAUGUCUCCUAUUCUGUCAUUUGUACUAUUUUCUAUCAUUUUUUAUAUGGUGAAAUUAGUAAAAUGACGCCAAUUUUAAGGGUUUUGGAAAAAAUUGGGUUUUUCCAAUAAAAAGAAUUCAAGAAAUUAAAAGAUUUCGUCAUUUAUUUCUCCGGGAGUGGAAGAAAGCAUUGCUUCUUUUAUCGUUUAGUACAUUUUUCUAAACAAGAUACCACGAUUUACCUUAAAUUUGAAAAUUUUAGGGGGAGGGGGGGCGCCGGCUGCGCCCCCCCCCCCCUUAAUCCGCCACUGAUUUUCCUUGUAUUGUAUAUAUUUUUCAUUUGUAUUGUAUAAAAUUUCAUUUGUAUUGUAUAUUUUCCAUUUGUAUUAAGGAAUGAAUUUAUUAUUUUUUCGUUGGAUGAAGGAAUUCCACGAAAAAAAACUGCAUCAUUGCGCGUAGCGCAAAAGUUUUCCGUCUUUUUUUUUCGUGGAAUUCCUCAAUCCAACGAAAAAUUGAUAAAUUCAUUCCUUAUCAUUUAAUAUUUUAAAACAUUGAGUUUAUAUGAUAAAACAUUAUUUGAUUUUAGUUGAAUUAACGAGUUAUUCUUGGACUACAUUCUAUGUCAUUUCGAGAUGGGCGUAGUAAUUUGUGAAUGCACAACUUAAAAAAAAACUAAAUCCGUUAGGCCCAAUGGCGACUUCCACGAACUGUUGUUUACUGUUGAGCAAACGGGUUUCUUGUGGACUGAAGAAUGCAGUUUUAAAAGGGUGAGUUAGAGAUAAAUCCUGUUGAGAGAGAAUUGCAGGAAUUUUGUUGAGUGGUGGAAUUAAGUGCAAAGUUCGAUGUCGGUACUAACGGAGAGCGUGGGACACGUGCAUAAUCAAGAUGUGGGAUGCCAAGUAGGGUUCUCUUGAUGGUUGUCACGGCUUCCAUGUGCACAAUUGAGUGUUACAGAGGGUUUUUCGAGUUUUAUCAGUGAAUUUCCUAAGGCUGUUGUAACGUCGUACGGAAGCCUCAUUUCGGUGCCCACUCAUUAACAUAUUUAGUCCCAAAUAUCUGACGUUUUCCUGGCUUUUUUUUAUGAUUUUGAUAUCUACUGUGCCUUGCAGGAUUAUGGAAGAACAUAUUAUGCCGGAGUUUGAAACUAUAGUCGUUUUAAAGCGCUACGAUAUUGUAGUAUCUCUGAGGCAGUGUGCGGUUUAUCGGGUAUAUUUGGGUUUGUGACAUGAAGGAAGUUGUCGCAAGGUGCAAACUGGACUAUUGUCAUCCCCGGUUGAAUACAUUUAACUCUCAGCCCGGAAUUGCAGAAACCACAGGCCUCUGAAUUUCUAUCAAUAAACCGAGCCGUUAUAUGAUUGAUCAGAGUGAUAUAUAUAUACCCCCUGUGGCAGAAGCAGACGUGUGUUGUUAUAUUUGGGUGGGGUGUCCUCAAAUAGCCAUGUUUAUUUCAUUUUGCAUAAUUAAUCAUUAUUUAUAUUUGAUAUUUGUUUGUUUUUGUUUAAUAAAUUCAUUUAGAUCGAUAGAAUUGUUAAGUUUUUCUUUUCAGGAUUCCCUACUCUAUAUAUAAAUACGAAGCAUCCAGAGGAAUCCUCAACAUUCCAAUAGAAAGUAGUUCCGGCGAUUUAUUUUUUUUCCCCGUUGGAUACUAUAUUCCAAUAAUUUUUCAACUAAUGAAAAAGCGUGUAACAUGUAAAAUUAAAUGAUUUGUAUAACUUUUCAUUUGUAUUUUACAUUUUCCACUUGUAUAAUUUUUCAUUUGUAUUGGUUUUUUCCCCGCGUUUUCAUUAUAUAAGUUUUCAUUUGUAUUGUAUCCGAGGGAUUGCAUAUUUAUUUUCAUUUUUUACAAAUGAUAUCAUUGAUUUAAACCAUGUCUCGAUUAUCAAGACAUACAAUGUUAUUGGGUCCGGAUAGGGCCAUGUGCAAAAGCGUAAUAGCCCGUUUCUUAAAAACUAGCUAUCACGCUAACACACAACACGCCGUCGCGCUAUAAUACACAACACACUAUCGAGCUGUCACGCUAACACGCCUUCGCGCUAAUGUACAACACACCGUCGCGCUGUCGCGCUAACACACAACAAGCCGUCGCGAUUUUGCACAGUCAGUCGCGUUCGAUUGUGUAUUAGCGCAAUAACGCGACAGCGUGUUAGCGCGAGAUAAUAUAAAGUGACAAACGUUUGACUUCAUUUGAACAAAUCGUCUAAAAUAUGUCGAGUUAAUGUGACAUUGUGAAUAAGUCGACAUUUCAGUCAUCGAUUUAAAGUUACAGUUGAAAAUAACGUGAUCAAAAGCGAUUUCAUGAAGUCGAUUGGUUGCUUUAAUGAGAAGAUAUUGUCAAAAAAUAUUCAUUUUGAGCAUAAAAAUGGCAUCUUGUCGACAUCAUUUUGGCGACUUAUAACAAAUAUAAUCUUUCUAAAGUUGUGUAAUAACCUGGACGACAUUCAUUUUAUUGAGUUAAUUUAUGGCAAUAAGCUACAAGUCACUAUGUUGAAUAUGUCGUUGAGUGCAUAAAGAUGAAAACUUAUCGAGUUAAAAAAGUCGUUUAAUUAGCUUGAUAGCGCAACGACGUGUUAGCGUAACAGGGCGACGGCGUGUUGUUUAUUAGCAUGUUAGCG